CUUAGAUUCAUGGUUCUUGGACGUGCAAAGCUGGCAAGCCUGUCAAUGUUGAUUCCUUGACCUCUGCUAUAGUAUGUUGUAGCUCUUCCGGGAUGGUGUAAAGACUUCCGACCAACAAAAUUCCACCCAAGAUGCUGCCAAAAGAGGAAGAGUAGAAAUGGAAAGUUUAUUUCAGUGCCUUUUUUGAAUAUUGUAACUUUGAUCAACGGACAGUGAGUACAUGAUUUACCUCCCGAGGUGAACAAUUUCUCCGA